UGGGGAAUAUUGGACAAUGGGGGAAACCCUGAUCCAGCAAUGCCGCGUGGGUGAUGAAGGCCUUCGGGUUGUAAAGCCCUUUUGGCGGGGACGAUGAUGACGGUACCCGCAGAAGAAGCCCCGGCUAACUUCGUGCCAGCAGCCGCGGUAAUACGAAGGGGGCUAGCGUUGUUCGGAAUUACUGGGCGUAAAGGGCGCGUAGGCGGCCCCGCGCGUCGAGCGUGAAAGGCCUGGGCUCAACCCAGGAAUGGCACUCGAUACGGCAGGGCUAGAGUGCAGGAGAGGAUGGUGGAAUUCCCAGUGUAGAGGUGAAAUUCGUAGAUAUUGGGAAGAACACCGGUGGCGAAGGCGGCCAUCUGGACUGCAACUGACGCUGAGGCGCGAAAGCGUGGGGAGCAAACAGGAUUAGAUACCCUGGUAGUCCACGCUGUAAACGAUGGGCACUAGGUGUAGGAGGUUUUUAACCCUCCUGUGCCGCAGCUAACGCAUUAAGUGCCCCGCCUGGGGAGUACGGCCGCAAGGUUA
rnacentral:rRNA from 1 species